UUGUCGAUGAUGAGGUUGUGUAACACGUAAGAAGAUUCAGCUUAUAGUUGGAUCUUCAAUGCAAUACAUUUGUUAACGCUUGGCUUCUGAGAUUA
rfam:Beta vulgaris subsp. vulgaris chromosome 2, whole genome shotgun sequence.